CUCUAGGUGGCUGAUUAAAGCGAUGGAAUUUUAAACCAUAAUAUAGUAAUUUACUUCUAGAGA
rnacentral:tRNA from 1 species